AAAAUAUUAUCCUUUCAAGAUGCAGUAUCCCCAAUUAUAGAACAACUAAUUAUAUUUCAUGAUCACACUAUAAUAAUUUUAAUUAUAAUUACUACAGUAGUUAGAUAUAUAAUAGUUAUACUUUUUAUAAACAAAUAUAUUAAUCGAUUUUUACUUGAAGGACAAUUAAUUGAACUAAUUUGAACUAUUUUACCAGCUGUAUUAUUAAUUUUUAUUGCUUUACCUUCAUUGCGAAUUUUAUAUAUAAUUGAAGAAAUUAAUAACCCAUUAAUUACAAUUAAAGCAAUUGGGCACCAAUGAUAUUGAUCUUAUGAAUAUUCAGAUUUUAAGAAAAUUGAAUUUGACUCAUAUAUAAAGCCAACUAUUAAUUUAGAAUCAAGUGAAUUUCGAUUAUUAGAUACAGAUAAUCGAAUUGUAUUGCCUUAUAAUAUCCAAAUUCGUAUUUUAGUUACAUCAACAGAUGUUAUUCAUUCAUGAACAAUUCCAUCUAUUGGUGUUAAAAUUGAUGCAUCACCUGGUCGGAUUAAUCAAGGAUCAAUUUUAAUAAAUCGACCUGGGUUAUUUUUUGGUCAAUGUUCAGAAAUUUGUGGAUCUAAUCAUAGUUUUAUACCUAUUGUAAUUGAAAGAGUUAACCUUAAAAGAUUUAUUAAUUGAUUAAAUUCUUAUUCAUUAGAUAACUUAAAUGUAAGUGUUGAUCUCUUAAAUCAAAUUAUAGUAUAUUAACGAAUACUUCUAAUGGAAAACUUAGUUUAAUUAAAAUAUUAAUUUGUCAAGUUAAAGAAGUAUGUAUUAUAGUUUUCGUUGCCACAAAUAUCCCCUAUAUGAUGAAUAACAUUAAUGUUCAUAUUUAUUAUAACACUAAUAUUAAUUAUAGCCAUAGUAUACUUUAAUUUUAAUUUAAUAUCAUCAAGUAAAAAAGAAUAUAAAGUUGUUCAAUAUAAUUGAAAAUGAUAGCUAAUUUAUUUUCUGUAUUUGACCCAUGUACAGGGUAUUCUUCAAUAAAUUGAAUGAGAACAUUUAUUUUUAUGUUUUUAAUUCCAUUAAAAUUUUGACUUAUACCCAAUAAAAUUUCAUUAUUAUUCAAUUCAUUACUUAGUAUUUUACAUAAUGAAAAUAAAUCAUUAAUAAAAUUAAAAGGAACAAGAUUAAUCAUAAUAAGAUUAUUUAUUUUAAUUUUAUUUAAUAAUUUAAUAGGAUUACUUCCUUAUAUCUUUACAUCAUCUUCUCAUUUAUUAUUUUGUUUAUCAUUGGCACUACCAUUAUGACUUUCACUUAUAAUUUAUGGUUGAAUUAAUAAGACAAAUCAUAUAUUUAUUCAUUUAGUGCCUACUGGAACACCAGGAAUUUUAAUGCCAUUUAUAGUUCUUAUUGAAACAAUUAGAAAUUUAAUCCGACCUGGUUCAUUAGCAGUGCGAUUAACAGCAAAUAUAAUUGCAGGGCAUUUAUUAAUGUCACUUUUGGGAAACAAUGCAACAAAUUUUUAUAUAAUUUUAAUAUUAAUAAUUAUAUUUAUAAUUUUAAUAACAUUUGAACUUGCAGUAGCUAUUAUUCAAUCAUAUGUAUUUAUAACACUUAUAAACCUAUAUUCUAGAGAAAUUUAAAAUGAAUAACCACCCAUUUCAUUUAGUUGAUAAUAGUCCAUGACCUAUUAUUGGAUCAAUUGGAGUCAUAACUAUUACUUCAGGAAUAGUAAUAUGAUUCCACAAAUUUAAUAUAAUAUUAUUUAUCCUAGGAUUUAUUAUUGUAAUUUUAACAAUAAUCCAAUGAUGACGUGAUGUAACACGGGAAGCCACAUUUCAAGGAUUACAUACCAAAAAAGUUUCAUUAAGAAUAAAAUGAGGGAUAGUAUUAUUCAUUGUAUCUGAAGUAUUAUUUUUUUCUUCAUUUUUUUGAUCAUUUUUUCAUAGAAGAUUAUCACCAACAAUUGAAAUUGGGUUACAGUGACCCCCAGUUGGAAUUAAAACAUUUAAUCCUAUAAAUAUUCCUUUAUUAAAUACUAUAAUUUUAUUAUAUUCUGGUAUUACAAUAACAUGAGCUCAUAAUGCAUUAAUUAAUAAAAAUUAUACACAAGUAGUUCAAAGAAUAAUUGUUACAGUAAUUAUAGGAAUAUAUUUUACUGCUUUACAAACAUAUGAAUAUAUUGAAUCUCCUUUCUGUAUUUCUGAUUCAAUUUAUGGUAGCACAUUUUUUAUAAGAACAGGAUUUCACGGAAUUCAUGUAAUUAUUGGAACAAUUUUUAUUAUUGUAUCAUUACUGCGAAUAUUAAAAUUACAUUUUUCAAGAACUCACCACGUGGGAUUUGAAGCAUCAGCUUGAUAUUGACAUUUUGUUGAUGUUGUUUGACUAUUUUUAUAUAUUUCAAUUUACUGAUGAGGUAGAUAA